AAUAUUGCUCAAUGGAGGGAACUCUUACGCAGCGACGCCGCGUGAGCGAUGAAGGUCUUCGGAUCGUAAAUCUCUGUCCUUGGGGCAGCAGAUCUUCGGCUUUGACGGUACCCAAGGAGGAAGCCCCGGCUAACUACGUUCCAGCAGCCGCGGUAAUACGUAGGGGGCAAGCGUUGUCCGGAAUUAUUGGGCGUAAAGGGUGAGUAGGCGGCCUUUUAAGUCAGAUGUGAAAGACCACGGCUUAACCGUGGGGUUGCAUUUGAAAAUGGAGGGCUUGAGUAUCGGAGAGGGUAGUGGAAUUCCCAGUGUAGCGGUGGAAUGCGUAGAUAUUGGGAGGAACACCAGUGGCGAAGGCGACUACCUGGACGAAAACUGACGCUGAUGCACGAAAGCUAGGGGAGCAAACA
rnacentral:rRNA from 1 species